ACGUAGGGUGCAAGCGUUAAUCGGAAUUACUGGGCGUAAAGCGUGCGCAGGCGGACUUUUAAGCCAGAUGUGAAAGCCCCGAGCUUAACUUGGGAAUUGCGUUUGGAACUGGGAGUCUAGAGUCUGUCAGAGGGGGAUGGAAUUCCACGUGUAGCAGUGAAAUGCGUAGAGAUGUGGAGGAACACCGAUGGCGAAGGCAGUCCCCUGGGAUAAGACUGACGCUCAUGCACGAAAGCGUGGGGAGCAAACAGGAUUAGAUACCCUGGUAGUCCACGCCCUAAACGAUGUCUACUAGUUGUUGGGGUAGCAAUACCUCAGUGACGCAGCUAACGCGUGAAGUAGACCGCCUGGGGAGUACGGUCGCAAGAUUA
rnacentral:rRNA from 1 species